rnacentral:rRNA from 1 species
CCCUUAGAUGUUCUGGGCCGCACGCGCGCUACACUGAUGCAUUCAACAAGCCUAGCCUUGACCGAGAGGUCCGGGUAAUCUUUGAAACUGCAUCGUGAUGGGGCUAGAUUAUUGCAAUUAUUAAUCUUCAACGAGGAAUGCCUAGUAAGCGUGAUUCAUCAAAUCGCGUUGAUUACGUCCCUGCCCUUUGUACACACCGCCCGUCGCUCCUACCGAUUGAAUGUGUUGGUGAGGAGCUCGGAUUGGCAGCAGUUGGCGGUUCGCCACCGGCUAUUGCUGAGAAGUCCUCCAAACCGCCCCAUUUAGAGGAAGGAGAAGUCGUAACA